rnacentral:tRNA from 1 species
GGUGGGGUUCCCGAGCGGUCAAAGGGAGCAGACUGUAAAUCUGCCGUUUAUACUUCGAAGGUUCGAAUCCUUCCCCCACCACAA